AAUAAGAUAUAGUAAUAAGGAAACUUACCAGCUUCAUGGUCUGGAGAUUGCAGUUCGAGUCUGCAUCUUAUUU
rnacentral:tRNA from 1 species